rnacentral:lncRNA from 1 species
UAGAAGGAGUUAGAAAAAUUAAUCAUUAACUUUCGUAAUAAAUUACGCCUCUCGCGCCUUGCCUUUCUAAAGUUUGCCAAACUUAGAUUUUCUAGGUCCCAACGACCUAAUGCUAAGCUCUGAUACGAACUUAAUCUGUCACGCCCCGGAUUACACGUUCCCCGGGCACGCCGACAAAUUCGCCGUAUACAAAAAAAUUUUUCCUAUAUACGAAGGGAUAGCUGUACCUGUAAACAUUACAAUACUACAAACAGUAGUAUAGGGCUGCUAGAAGAACCAGUAACAAAAACAAACCAAGUUUCAUAUACAUACGCCAAAUCUCAGAUACAAAACUACUCGCACUGGCGAGUUACACAUCUGUAUGUACAUGAACUCCAACAAAACAACUACCUGCUGUAG